AAGCGAUUUGCCUUGCAACCUCUCUGCACGCGCGCGCGCGCGCGCACACACACACACACACACACACACACACUCCCCACCCCCCAAAUUCCGGCUUUCUGCAAGGGUUGGGUGGAGAAGAGGUGGAAGCAAAGGCUAUCCAGACAAUGGAGAGAGGAAAAGUUGCUUCCAAAAGUUUCUCACAAGCUUUAAAGAGAAAAACGAAAAAUUGACAACUGUUACACAGAAGAGCUCACAAAUCCGCAGCAGCACCAGGGGGUGAAGAAGCAGCGACAGACCCAGCGCUUGCCCAGUAACGAGACGAGAGGAACAGCCUUCUAAGAGUGAAGCCCUCAAGACGUUUCCAAGCUGCCUGGACAAAGGCUUGGAAUGACUACAAUGGUGAACCAUCCUGCCUUGGACCUGAAUCUAGAUCGAUGACCUAAUACAUCUUUUCCAACUCUGACUGCCAUGGUUUUAUGAGCAUCAAGGACUGGGCGUCUGCCAUUGUCAACAAGGAUCCUGUUUGGAAGGUCGGGGACAAGGACAAUUGAGAAGCGAAGAGAAAACUGGAGAAGAGUGGAGGAAUACUUGGAACACCAAAAGGCUCGUUCACCUUGAAUCAGAGGACACGUUUCUGUAAUGAGUUCAUGCAAUCAGUUAUGGCCCAGGACUUAGGAUUUAUUCUUGGAACACACACAUUUGGGAAUUCUUCAUAAUGCUGUGAAUCUCUUAUUAACUAUUAUGAGAACUUACCUUCUCCAAUCCUCAUAUGCUAAUGGGAAAAGAGAGCUUAUUGUCCGUACUGUCUGCCUAGGAAUAUCCUUUGUCUCGUACCUUGUUGUAAUCACUUCCAGACCGGUGGUAUAUUUAUGAUUUACAUAAUGUUACAGAGGAAGAAGUCUUAAGGAUUUUUUUUUCUCUAAAUCUUUGUGAAUUAUUAUUUUAGACUCAUUGCCAGAUUUUUUUUUAAGGGGGAAGUUGAUGAACUUUUAAACAUGUCAUUACAUUCCGAAAUAGCAACUCUUUGUUCUUUCAAAGUUUUUUUGGUGGGGAUUUAAAGGGCUGUGUGUGUGUGUGUGCGUGUGUGUUUAGAAACAGGUUGAGAAGGAAAUGGGUAAAAGAGAACUCUUUAGGUUCGCUGAUGAAGUUAAAUACAGAUUUUGUGUUUCCAGUAGAACAAAAGUUAGCAGAUUUGGGGGAUCUUACCUAACACGUGGGAUAGGUUUUGGAAGGGUGGCUCUCCAUUCAUUUCCAAUCAUGUUUCAGUAAUUAGGGGUAGCAACCGAAGGGUUAAGCCCUAAAGCAAGGAAAUAUCUCUAAGUCAGAAAACAAAGGGAAACUUGCAUAUUUCUGGAGAUGACAUCGGAUAGGCCUGUGAAUUUCAAGCAAUUAUGUGAUAUUAUGAUUCCCACUGAGUAUGCAUUAGUUGGAAUACUGUUCUUUUUCUUUCUCUGUGUCCCAGGGUUGUACACUGAAGAGCCCUGUUCAACUUUGCAUGUCAGAAUUUUGAAGGAAAAAUUAUAGUAAAAUAUGUUUAAAACAGUGGGGCCUUAUGUGAGCGAACACAACAUUUUCCAAGGCUUUCAAAACUCCUUUUGUUAAAAAUAUGGUUUUUAUUUUGUGUCUUUUUUUUUCUUUCUUUCUUUAAUUUUUUUUUCUUUUACUCAAGCUUUUACUUCCCCUCCUUCCUGGAGGAAAGAAGAAAAGUUUCAAAGGAUAUACAUAACACAGCCUGCAUCUUAGGGACUGGGGACUUGCAGUGGGUUUGUUCUAAAUGAGACACCCCACAUGGAAAAUAAACACGUGAGAAAAGUUCAUCUGUGUACGUAACUUCAGU